UACAGGGGGUGCAAACGUUGCUCGGAAUCAUUGGGCGUAAAGCGCACGUAGGCGGUUUGUUAUGUCGGAUGUGAAAUCCCUCGGCUCAACUGAGGAAGUGCAUCCGAAACUGGCAGGCUUGAGUACUAAAGAGGGUCGCGGAAUUCCCGGUGUAGAGGUGAAAUUCGUAGAUAUCGGGAGGAACACCGGUGGCGAAGGCGGCGACCUGGGUAGAUACUGACGCUGAGGUGCGAAAGCGUGGGGAGCAAACAGG
rnacentral:rRNA from 1 species